UACGGAGGGUGCAAGCGUUAUCCGGAUUCACUGGGUUUAAAGGGUGCGUAGGCGGGCAGGUAAGUCAGUGGUGAAAUCUCCGGGCUUAACCCGGAAACUGCCGUUGAUACUAUCUGUCUUGAAUAUCGUGGAGGUAAGCGGAAUAUGUCAUGUAGCGGUGAAAUGCUUAGAUAUGACAUAGAACACCCAUUGCGAAGGCAGCUUACUACACGAUCAUUGACGCUGAGGCACGAAAGCGUGGGGAGCGAACAGG
rnacentral:rRNA from 1 species